rnacentral:rRNA from 1 species
GCUAAUACAUGCGCAAAUAUCCUUUUUCGCAAGAAAGAGGAUAGUGUUUAUUAGAUACAGAACCAAUACACCAUCUGUUAACAGCAGGUGGUGUAAAAAAGGUGAUUCAUAGUAACCGAACGGAUCGCAUUAUGGUCAUUUUAUAUGGCUGGCGAUAGAUCAUUCAAGUUUCUGACCUAUCAGCUUUCGACGGUAGUGUAUUGGACUACCGUGGCAGUGACGGGUAACGGGGAAUUAGGGUUCGAUUCCGGAGAGGGAGCCUGAGAAACGGCUACCACAUCUAAGGAAGGCAGCAGGCGCGCAAAUUACCCAAUCCUGACUCAGGGAGGUAGUGACAAGAAAUAACAACACUGGAAAUUUUAUUUCUAGUGAUUGGAAUGAUGGGAAUUUAAACCCCUUUCAGAGUAACAAUUGGAGGGCAAGUCUGGUGCCAGCAGCCGCGGUAAUUCCAGCUCCAAUAGCGUAUAUUAAAGUUGUUGCAGUUAAAAAGCUCGUAGUUGGAUGUCUGCUGGAAGCAAUCAGUCCGCCCUAUUUGUAGGGUGUGCACUUGAUGAAUUCUGGCAUCUAUAUCCCAAUAAUAUGAUGGUGUAUACCCUGUGUACACCCAUCUAUAUUGGGAUAAUACCGUUACUUUGAGAAAAUUAGAGUGUUUGAAGCAGGCUAAUUGCCUUGAAUACUGCAGCAUGGAAUAACAAUAUAGGAUUUCGGUUCUAUUUUGUUGGUUUCUAGGACUGAAAUAAUGAUUAAUAGGGACAGUUGGGGGCAUUCGUAUUUAACUGUCAGAGGUGAAAUUCUUAGAUUUGUUAAAGACGAA